rnacentral:piRNA from 1 species
UCUGAUGACAAUUGGGCUAGGCACCAAUUU